rnacentral:rRNA from 1 species
UACGUAGGGUGCAAGCGUUGUCCGGAAUUAUUGGGCGUAAAGAGCUCGUAGGCGGUUUGUUGCGUCGGCUGUGAAAUCCCGGAGGCUCAACCUCGGGUCUGCAGUCGAUACGAGCAAACUAGAGUGUUGCAGGGGAGACUGGAAUUCCUGGUGUAGCGGUGAAAUGCGCAGACUAUCAGGAAGAACACCGGUGGCGAAGGCGGCUCUCUGGGCCUUACCUGACGCUGAGGAGCGAAAGCCGUGGGUAGCAACAGG